UUCACCGACUGGAAGGCAAGUGGUCCCCGAAUAGGGAUCAGACCAGAAACAAAACAGGAGAAGAAGCCCCGACGUGAGUUUUGCACGGCCGUGUCUUUUUCCCGCUGUCCUCAGAAGCAUGCGAAAAUCCCUCCAACGACUGAAGAAUCAAGAAGCUGCAAAAUCAACUUUUCUACUUCUUCACAAA